rnacentral:misc_RNA from 1 species
GAACGCAAAUUGCACUCUUUUCACGAAGAGUAUGCCUGUUUGAGGGUCAUUAAAAUAAAAAAUCGAUUUGUUACCUUUUUAAGUAUCAUUUCGGAAUUGAGUUACCUUAAAUCUAGGGUUUAAGUGACUUAAAAUUGAUCUUUCGUUGACUUGAGCGCAUUUUAUGGUUAAUACUUUGUGCUUGAUCGACAUACUCUAUUAGGUUCGACCAUUUAUCAUGGUUUCGUACCCAUAAUCGUAUCAUUAAAUUUGACCUCAAAUCAGGUAGGAUUACCCGCUGAACUUAAG